rnacentral:tRNA from 1 species
GGUUUCGUGGUAUAGUUGAUUAUCACGUCAAUCUAACACACUGAAGGUCUCCAGUUCGAACCUGGACGAAAUCA